rnacentral:rRNA from 1 species
AACGAACGCUGGCGGCAUGCCUAACACAUGCAAGUCGAACGAGACCUUCGGGUCUAGUGGCGCACGGGUGCGUAACGCGUGGGAACCUGCCCUUAGGUUCGGAAUAACUCCCCGAAAGGGGUGCUAAUACCGGAUAAUGUCUUCGGACCAAAGAUUUAUCGCCUUUGGAUGGGCCCGCGUUGGAUUAGCUAGUUGGUAGGGUAAAAGCCUACCAAGGCGACGAUCCAUAGCUGGUCUGAGAGGAUGAUCAGCCACACUGGGACUGAGACACGGCCCAGACUCCUACGGAAGGCAGCAGUGGGGAAUAUUGGAAAAUGGGCGAAAGCCUGAUCCAGCAAUGCCGCGUGAGUGAUGAAGGCCUUAGGGUUGUAAAGCUCUUUUAUCCGGGAUGAUAAUGACAGUACCGGGAGAAUAAGCACCGGCUAACUCCGUG